AUGCUGGGCUCUGUCACCCUCCUUCUCACCGCCCUGUUCCCUGCUGGCCAGACAGCGCUCACCAUGGACCAGCUGAUGGUCUCCAACACCAAACAGGCCGGGUCAGUAGCAUCAUUUGUCUGUGAGCUUUCUGACCAAACUAUCACCUCCAUCCACUGGUAUCGCCAGCAGCGUGGGAAGGGUCCCCAGCGACUGCUCUACUGUAACCUGGCCACAUCUCAACCCACUCUGGAUGGAGGAUUCAGUGUCGAUAAAUUCUCUUCUUACAAGAGCAAAGAUCAUCAGUGUAUCCUGAAAGUACGGAAGCUGAGCAUGAGUGAUGCCGGCACGUAUUACUGUGCUGGGUGGGACUCCACAGUGCCACAAGUCCCUCCUCCCCUCAUACAAAAAGUCACUGUCUAUAUUCACCAGGAGAAGGGCCUGCCCCCUGCACAGCGCCAGCACUGA